CAACUCUUAGCGGUGGAUCACUCGGCUCGUGCGUCAAUA
rnacentral:rRNA from 1 species